UCUAUUGAUCAUGACACUAAUCAUAAAAUGUGUUUAAUAAAAGGUUUCAUACUUCAGUGAUCAAAAGACUUUCGUUUCAUGAAGCUGUCACAAAUAUAAUCUGUCUACAUUUUUUACUGUCAAACUCUUUGUAUGUUUCAAACUUAUAAUGAUUUUCAAAAUUAACUCCGUUUUUAUUGUUUCAUACUUUGGUAGGAAAAUUCAAAUGAGGUUUGGUUGUGGAAUUUAAAUCUUCAGCCAGAAAUUAAAAAGUUGAUUAUAACUUUAGAAGUAGACAAUACAAGAAAUCACAUUACAACUUUGGGAAAUUAAUUGAUUUUGGUGAUUCUCCUGUGUACCUACAAUUUAGAUUGUUUAUUUUCUUGUAUUUUAUUUGUAUACAAUAAAAGAUUAUUCGAUACUAUUUUA